GACGAACGCUGGCGGCGUGCUUAACACAUGCAAGUCGAACGGAAAGGCCCUGCUUUUGUGGGGUGCUCGAGUGGCGAACGGGUGAGUAACACGUGAGUAACCUGCCCUUGACUUUGGGAUAACUUCAGGAAACUGGGGCUAUAACCGGAUAGGAGCUCUUGCUCCAGGUGGGGGGUGGGAAAUUUUCGGGGGUUGGGGAUGGACUCGCGGCUUCCAAGCUGUUUGGGGGGGUAGGGGCUUACAAAGGGUUGGCGGGGAGGCCGGCCUAGGAGGGGUAACGGGCACAUUGGGACUGAGGUACGGCCCAGAAGCCUACGGGAGGCAGAAGGGGGGAAUAUUGCACAAUGGGCGGAAGCCUGAUGCAGCAACCCCGGGUGCGGGAAGACGGGCUUCGGGGUGUAAACCGCUUUCGCCUGUGACGAAGCGUGAGUGACGGUAAUGGGUAAAGAAGCACCGGCUAACUACGUG
rnacentral:rRNA from 1 species